GACGAACGCUGGCGGCAGGCUUAACACAUGCAAGUCGAACGAGUGGCGGACGGGUGAGUAAUGCUUGGGAAUCUAGCUUAUGGAGGGGGAUAACUACGGGAAACUGUAGCUAAUACCGCGUACCAUAGGAUGAGCCCAAGUGGGAUUAGGUAGUGGGUGAGGUAAAGGCUCACCAAGGCGACGAUCUCUAGCUGGUCUGAGAGGAUGACCGGCCACACUGGGACUGAGGCACGGCACAGACUCCUACGGGAGGCAGCAGUGGGGAAUAUUGCGCAAUGGGGGCAACCUUGCACAGCCAUGCCGCGUGAAUGAAGAAGGCCUUCGGGUUGUAAAGUUCUUUCGGUAGCGGGGCGUUAACUACAGAAGAAUCACCGGCUAACUCCGGGCCAGCAGCCGCGGUAAUAC
rnacentral:rRNA from 1 species